GAUCUUGGCUCAGAUUGAACGCUGGCGGCAGGCCUAACACAUGCAAGUCGAGCGGUAGAGAGGUGCUUGCACCUUCUCUUGAGAGCGGCGGACGGGUGAGUAAUGCCUAGGAAUCUGCCUGGUAGUGGGGGAUAACGUUCGGAAACGGACGCUAAUACCGCAUACGUCCUACGGGAGAAAGCAGGGGGACCUUCGGGCCUUGCGCUAUCAGAUGAGCCUAGGUCGGAUUAGCUAGUUGGUGAGGUAAUGGCUCACCAAGGCGACGAUCCGUAACUGGUCUGAGAGGAUGAUCAGUCACACUGGAACUGAGACACGGUCCAGACUCCUACGGGAGGCAGCAGUGGGGAAUAUUGGACAAUGGGCGAAAGCCUGAUCCAGCCAUGCCGCGUGUGUGAAGAAGGUCUUCGGAUUGUAAAGCACUUUAAGUUGGGAGGAAGGGCAUUAACCUAAUACGUUAGUGUUUUGACGUUACCGACAGAAUAAGCACCGGCUAACUCUGUGCCAGCAGCCGCGGUAAUACAGAGGGUGCAAGCGUUAAUCGGAAUUACUGGGCGUAAAGCGCGCGUAGGUGGUUUGUUAAGUUGGAUGUGAAAGCCCCGGGCUCAACCUGGGAACUGCUUUCUAAACUGACAAGCUAGAGUAUGGUAGAGGGUGGUGGAAUUUCCUGUGUAGCGGUGAAAUGCGUAGAUAUAGGAAGGAACACCAGUGGCGAAAGCGACCACCUGGACUGAUACUGACACUGAGGUGCGAAAGCGUGGGGGAGCAAACAGGAUUAGAUACCCUGGUAGUCCACGCCGUAAACGAUGUCAACUAGCCGUUGGGAGCCUUGAGCUCUUAGUGGCGCAGCUAACGCAUUAAGUUGACCGCCUGGGGAGUACGGCCGCAAGGUUAAAACUCAAAUGAAUUGACGGGGGCCCGCACAAGCGGUGGAGCAUGUGGUUUAAUUCGAAGCAACGCGAAGAACCUUACCAGGCCUUGACAUCCAAUGAACUUUCUAGAGAUAGAUUGGUGCCUUCGGGAACAUUGAGACAGGUGCUGCAUGGCUGUCGUCAGCUCGUGUCGUGAGAUGUUGGGUUAAGUCCCGUAACGAGCGCAACCCUUGUCCUUAGUUACCAGCACGUCAUGGUGGGCACUCUAAGGAGACUGCCGGUGACAAACCGGAGGAAGGUGGGGAUGACGUCAAGUCAUCAUGGCCCUUACGGCCUGGGCUACACACGUGCUACAAUGGUCGGUACAGAGGGUUGCCAAGCCGCGAGGUGGAGCUAAUCCCACAAAACCGAUCGUAGUCCGGAUCGCAGUCUGCAACUCGACUGCGUGAAGUCGGAAUCGCUAGUAAUCGCGAAUCAGAAUGUCGCGGUGAAUACGUUCCCGGGCCUUGUACACACCGCCCGUCACACCAUGGGAGUGGGUUGCACCAGAAGUAGCUAGUCUAACCUUCGGGAGGACGGUUACCACGGUGUGAUUCAUGACUGGGGUGAAGUCGUAAC
rnacentral:rRNA from 1 species